AAUACGGAGGGAUGCAAGCGUUAUCCGGAUUAGUUGGGUUUAAAGGGUGCGUAGCCGGAAAAUUAAGUCAGUGGUGAAAUCCUGCAGCUUAACUGUAGAAUUGUCAUUGAUACUGGUUUUCUUGAAUACAGUUGAGGUAGNCGGAAUGAGUAAUGUAGCGGUGAAAUGCUUAGAUAUUACUCAGAACACCAAUUGCGAAGGCAGCUUACUAAACUGUGAUUGACGCUGAGGCACGAAAGCGUGGGGAGCGAACAGGAUUAGAUACCCUGGUAGUCCACGCCGUAAACGAUGAUCACUCGUUGUUGGCAAUACACCGUCAGCGACUGAGCGAAAGUAUUAAGUGAUCCACCUGGGGAGUACGAUUGCAAGAUUGAAACUCAAAGGAAUUGACGGGGGCCCGCACAAGCGGAGGAACAUGUGGUUUAAUUCGAUGAUACGCGAGGAACCUUACCUGGGCUUAAAUGCAUAACGACGGAUCGGGAAACUGGUCUUUCUUCGGACGGAAUGCAAGGUGCUGCAUGGCUGUCGUCAGCUCGUGCCGUGAGGUGUCGGGUUAAGUCCCAUAACGAGCGCAACCCUCAUCAUUAGUUGCCAGCGGGUAAUGCCGGGGACUCUAAUGAAACUGCCGGUGUAAACCGAGAGGAAGGCGAGGAUGACGUCAAGUCAGCACGGCCCUUAUGUCCAGGGCUACACACGUGUUACAAUGGUCAGUACAAAGGGCAGCUACCAGGCAACUGGAUGCUAAUCUCAAAAGCUGGUCACAGUUCGGAUCGGAGUCUGCAACUCGACUUCGUGAAGUUGGAUUCGCUAGUAAUCGCGCAUCAGCCAUGGCGCGGUGAUACGUUCCCGGGCACUUGUACACACCGCCCGUCAAGCCAUGGAAGCCGGNGGGUACACUGAAGUUCGUAACCGAGAGGAUCGAC
rnacentral:rRNA from 1 species